rnacentral:rRNA from 1 species
UGCCAGCCGCCGCGGUAAGACGGAGGGUGCUAGCGUUGUUCGGAAUCACUGGGCGUAAAGGGCGCGUAGGCGGCCUAGAUAGUCAGAUGUGAAAGCCCAGGGCCCAACCCUGGAACUGCAUUUGAUACUCCUAGGCUAGAGGUCGAAAGAGGAGAGUGGAAUACCCAGCGUAGAGGUGAAAUUCGUAGAUAUUGGGUGGAACACCAGUGGCGAAGGCGGCUAACUGGCUCGGUACUGACGCUGAGAUGCGAAAGCGUGGGGAGCAAACAGGAUUAGAUA